rnacentral:tRNA from 1 species
GCUGAGAUAGCCAAGCGGUACGGCGCAGGCCUGGAGAGCCUGUGUGGUUCUUCCACGCGUGGGUUCGAAUCCCACUCUCAGCGCCA